rnacentral:tmRNA from 1 species
GGGGGCGUUCCGGAUUCGACGGGGAUAGCUUUCUUAGAGAAGCGAGCCGAGGUUGCUGUUACCUUCGUUAAACAACAGCACAAAAUAUAAACGCAGAAGAAAAUUACGCAUUAGCUGCCUAAUAGGUUAGCUCGUUCUUAGUUUGUAAUGAACUCCGCCAAACUAAUGAACGUCAUUUAGGAGUUCUUACAAAGUAAUUUUUUCGUUAGGGUUACUUUGGAAAAUUUAUAACGAUAGGUUGAUUUAGCUUUGCCUAAGUAGCGGAAUUAACCGAAUUUCAAACUUGGGCUGCGCUCGGAGAUGCUCUAAGUGCGUUAUUUCCGGACGCGGGUUCGACUCCCGCCGUCUCCACCA